rnacentral:misc_RNA from 1 species
AAAAAAUAGUCUACCUUUAAGGAUAUUUUAAUAAUUUCUUAGAUAAUAAUAGAAAAUUAAAUUGAUGGACUUUUAGUUUGAUGGAGUUAAAAUAAAAGGAUUACCGUUGAUUUUUAAAAAUUGAAAGACAUAUAUAUUAAUUUUAACGCAAAUAAAAAAAAGAAUGAAUAAUUUAUUCAAAAAUUAAAGAAUAAAGGGAUUUGCUUACUCAUAGUGUGUGGGAGAUAUGCCCUGGAAGAAGACCUUGGUUUUAGAA